UUUUUUUUUUUUGUUUUGCUUUUGCUUUUGCUUUUGCUUAACUUU
rnacentral:ribozyme from 13 species